AAAAAAAAGCGAGAAAAAAAUUUUAACAUCGGAAAAAUUGAACAACAAAUUACACAGGCACGCAAACGCGUAUUUGGUUUGGAGUGUGAAUGAAACGUACUUACCGCUGGUGUCAUGCCAAAAGCAUAAACUUGCGCAAAGAGCUCAUACUUUUGUGAUUACUUUUAUUCCCGCGCAGAUUCAGUGAAUUUUUCCUCCGUAAUGGGAUUUGUGAGGAUUUUAGAAAUGUCCAAAUGGUGCAAACUAAAUUAGGAUUUCUAGGCGCAAACUCACUUCCCACCCCAUCAGCAUCGUCACCGCCAUCAGCUUUAACACGUGUGUUUCGCCGCUGGGCCUUCCGCCGCUGGGCCCAACGUUUCUUUCUCUGCGGUCUACGGCAAGCGAAGUUUGACAGCGCAGUUAUAUCACCACGUGUAAAACCUGCACAAUGUACGCUUAUGUGCGCUUCAAGGACGACGGCGUGAAGGUUGUCUGCACGAAGAAAGAAUUAAGAGAUUUUCUCCGUAUAGUAUCAAAGACUUCGACAACAAACAAUGGUACAGUGUACGCUGGGAUGACGAAAACAGCGGAUAUUUCAGAGCCCAGAUUAUGAAGUUGUUUGUAACCAAAGAGGAGGCUGAUGCUUCCGCGGAAAGCUCGAGCAAGAGAUUUUCCUGCCCCCAAAUGCCUAUGGACAGCAGUUUAGAAGGCGACACCGAAGCGAGCGGAGAAUCCUACAGAAAGCACAAAAGUGAAAAACAAGUGCCAAAAUCUCGUGUGAAGGAUACCGAGG